UACGUAGGGUGCGAGCGUUAAUCGGAAUUACUGGGCGUAAAGCGUGCGCAGGCGGUUUUGUAAGCCAGAUGUGAAAUCCCCGGGCUUAACCUGGGAAUGGCAUUUGGGACUGCAAGGCUUGAGUGCGGCAGAGGAGACUGGAAUUCCUGGUGUAGCGGUGAAAUGCGCAGAUAUCAGGAGGAACACCGGCGGCGAAGGCGGGUCUCUGGGCCGUAACUGACGCUGAGGAGCGAAAGCGUGGGGAGCGAACAGG
rnacentral:rRNA from 1 species